CAACCAUUCUCCGUCGUCUUGAAGAGGAAACCUUCAACUGACUAAAGGGACCUCCUCCUGAGCACAGACCAAAAGCGAAGGAUGCAGAUAGAUUCCAACGCUUAAUAAAGAUUCUCUUGCUUAAUAAAGAUUCCCUUGCUUAAUAAAGAUUCUCUUGCUUAAUAAAGAUCAUAGACGCUUUGGGAUGGCGUCAGAAGACCAGGCCCCCAUGCCUGCCACCAUAAUUCUACGGAACUAUUUAGUCUUUCUUCCCCCUUUCUAAGUUGUGUGUAUGGCGUCCAAGUCAAAAGCAUUCCCUGAGCGCUCACUGUCAAGUCCUCCAGGAAUCCAAACCCCAACUUCAUGGCCAGAGAGGACAGGAGUACUGUCUGCUUUUCAGUCUCAGGAGAUGCAUACUACCUCUGUUGACUUUAUUUCCGUCCAUGUCUGCCUAGGAAAAUUCUGAAGCUCUUUGGACUGCACUUCCUGGCAGCACAUCCAACCUGCGGCCAACAAUAGCUAUGAAUGAGGCCAAACCCAACCUUAAAUGCUAUGAGAGUAUUUAACCGCAUUGUGCUUUUCUUCAGGGAGAACUUUGCAGACAGACAACAGCUCUCCAAGCAAUGUCAAAAGAUUAGACAUCCCUGAAGGACUUUAGAGAACUAAGCGUUAAGCAGACAUGCUAACCAAUCUGUUGACUGACUAAAUGCUUUUCUCCCUUUAUGGGACUAAUUUUAAGAAUAAAUAUGAUAGAUAGGAAUGUGCUUUAUCCAACUUAAAAUGGUCAUAAACUAUAAGAUGGAGAUGGAGACGCUAAAGAGAAGCAAAAACCUUUUCCAGGGUAUUGUUAAGACCUUCAAACUUCAGAUACAGACACUCACUGAAUGCGAGCGCUUUAAGAUGGAGAGAUGUUAUUUUGAGUCAAACUUUUCUUGUCCCAAGGCCAGAUUUUAAACCAUCUCUUCUGAAGCAAUGUUCAACUAAGCUGAACAAUGACCUAGUCCAUCUGAAUAUUUGAAAACAAACAUAUUUCAGCUUAGGGCAUGAACUUAUCACCUUUGAAGCACAUAUUAACUGUAAUAUGGAAAAGGACCAUCGAAAACUUCCACUACAGUCAUUUUGUAUCGAUCAGAAGGGUCACAGCCGUCUGGAUAGCUAAGGUUAAGCACAAGACUGUCUGCAGUGUUGUUUAUCUCAAGAUGUAACAGUGCACUUGGAAAGCAGGCUCUCCAUGCCUUUUCAACAACUCUUGUACCUCAAUUGGCUGUAAACAUUACCUGAGCAUCCUCGAUGUGAUGCCAGGGCCUAACUCUGCUUUAGUGUGAGCACAGAGACAAAGAUAAGUGACUGAUUUGCAACCCUCAGAAAGCAGCAAUCCUUGGUGUUUGUUGUCCAUAAAUGGCAGAGAGACUCAAGGGUAUUAAUGGACAUUAUCUGUGGAAAAAGAGCCAUCCAGGCCUUCACUAACCACUUCUGCUCCCGUGACAAAAAAAAAAAAAAAAAAAAAAGAUGAAAUGCUAACCGGCCCUCUUUUGUAGACAACUGUUGGGUUUUCAUUCAGGAGAUCAAAGCAGAUCCAUCACCUCAAUCAGCAUUAAACAUGUGUUACAGAGCUGAGAACAGUGCCAGAUGGAAAAGUCUUUUAUAAACAAAAAGAAUUUAUUAACUAUGAAAUUUUA
rnacentral:lncRNA from 1 species